AUUGAACGCUGGCGGCAGGCCUAACACAUGCAAGUCGAACGGUAACACGAUGAAGCUUUCUUCUUUGCUGUCGAGUGUCGGACGCGUGAGUAAUGUCCAGGAAACUGCCUGUUGGCGGGGGAUAACUACUGGAAACGGUAGCUAAUACCGCAUAACGUCGCAAGACGAAAGAGCGGGACCUUCGCGCCUCUUGCCAUCGUAUGUGCCCAGAUGGGAUUUGCUAGUAGGUGGGGUAACGGCUCACCAAGGCGACGAUCCGUAGCUGGUAUGAGAGGAUGAUGAGCCAAACUGGAAAUGAGACACGGUCCAGACUCCUACGGGAGGCAGCAGUGGGGAAUAUUGGACAAUGGGCGCAAGCCUGAUCCAGCCAUACCGCGUGGGUGAAGAAGGCCUUCGGGUUGUAAAGUCCUUUUGGUGGGAAAGAAAAGCAGCAGGUUAAUACCCCGCUGUUCUGACGGUACCCAAAGAAUAAGCACCGGCUAACUUCGUG
rnacentral:rRNA from 1 species